rnacentral:rRNA from 1 species
UUAAGUGACUAAGCGUACACGGUGGAUGCCUGGGCAGUCAGAGGCGAUGAAGGACGUACUAACUUGCGAUAAGCGCAGAUAAGGCAGUAAGAGCCGUUUGAGUCUGCGAUUUCCGAAUGGGGAAACCCAACUGCAUAAGCAGUUACUGUUAACUGAAUACAUAGGUUAACAGAGCAAACCGGGGGAACUGAAACAUCUAAGUACCCCGAGGAGAAGAAAUCAACCGAGAUUCCGGUAGUAGCGGCGAGCGAACCUGGAUUAGCCCUUAAGCACUCGGUGAAGUAGGUGAACAAGCUGGAAAGCUUGGCGAUACAGGGUGAUAGCCCCGUAACCGACGCUUCAUCGAGCGUGAAAUCGAGUAGGGCGGGACACGUGAUAUCCUGUCUGAAUAUGGGGGGACCAUCCUCCAAGGCUAAAUACUCCUGACUGACCGAUAGUGAACCAGUACCGUGAGGGAAAGGCGAAAAGAACCCCUGUGAGGGGAGUGAAAUAGAACCUGAAACCGUGUACGUACAAGCAGUAGGAGCACCUUCGUGGUGUGACUGCGUACCUUUUGUAUAAUGGGUCAGCGACUUAUAUUCAGUGGCAAGGUUAACCGUAUAGGGGAGCCGUAGCGAAAGCGAGUCUUAACUGGGCGCUCAGUCUCUGGAUAUAGACCCGAAACCGGGUGAUCUAGCCAUGGGCAGGUUGAAGGUUGAGUAACAUCAACUGGAGGACCGAACCGACUAAUGUUGAAAAAUUAGCGGAUGACUUGUGGCUAGGGGUGAAAGGCCAAUCAAACUCGGAGAUAGCUGGUUCUCCCCGAAAGCUAUUUAGGUAGCGCCUCGGACGAAUACUACUGGGGGUAGAGCACUGUUAAGGCUAGGGGGUCAUCCCGACUUACCAACCCUUUGCAAACUCCGAAUACCAGUAAGUACUAUCCGGGAGACACACGGCGGGUGCUAACGUCCGUCGUGGAGAGGGAAACAACCCAGACCGCCAGCUAAGGUCCCAAAGUAUUGCUAAGUGGGAAACGAUGUGGGAAGGCUCAGACAGCUAGGAUGUUGGCUUAGAAGCAGCCAUCAUUUAAAGAAAGCGUAAUAGCUCACUAGUCGAGUCGGCCUGCGCGGAAGAUGUAACGGGGCUAAGCAAUACACCGAAGCUGCGGCAAUGUCUUUUAGACAUUGGGUAGGGGAGCGUUCUGUAAGCCGUUGAAGGUGAAUCGUAAGGUUUGCUGGAGGUAUCAGAAGUGCGAAUGCUGACAUGAGUAACGACAAAGGGGGUGAAAAACCUCCUCGCCGGAAGACCAAGGGUUCCUGUCCAACGUUAAUCGGGGCAGGGUGAGUCGACCCCUAAGGUGAGGCCGAAAGGCGUAAUCGAUGGGAAACGGGUUAAUAUUCCCGUACUUCUGACUAUUGCGAUGGGGGGACGGAGAAGGCUAGGUGGGCCAGGCGACGGUUGUCCUGGUUCAAGUGCGUAGGCUUGAGAGUUAGGUAAAUCCGGCUCUCUCUAAGGCUGAGACACGACGUCGAGCUACUACGGUAGUGAAGUCAUUGAUGCCAUGCUUCCAGGAAAAGCCUCUAAGCUUCAGAUAGUCAGGAAUCGUACCCCAAACCGACACAGGUGGUCGGGUAGAGAAUACCAAGGCGCUUGAGAGAACUCGGGUGAAGGAACUAGGCAAAAUGGUACCGUAACUUCGGGAGAAGGUACGCUCUUGAUGGUGAAGUCCCUCGCGGAUGGAGCUGACGAGAGUCGCAGAUACCAGGUGGCUGCAACUGUUUAUUAAAAACACAGCACUGUGCAAAAUCGCAAGAUGACGUAUACGGUGUGACGCCUGCCCGGUGCCGGAAGGUUAAUUGAUGGGGUUAGCGCAAGCGAAGCUCUUGAUCGAAGCCCCGGUAAACGGCGGCCGUAACUAUAACGGUCCUAAGGUAGCGAAAUUCCUUGUCGGGUAAGUUCCGCCUGCACGAAUGGCGUAAUGAUGGCCACGCUGUCUCCACCCGAGACUCAGUGAAAUUGAAAUCGCUGUGAAGAUGCAGUGUACCCGCGGCUAGACGGAAAGACCCCGUGAACCUUUACUACAGCUUGGCACUGAACAUUGAACCUACAUGUGUAGGAUAGGUGGGAGGCUAUGAAGACGUGACGCCAGUUGCGUUGGAGCCGUCCUUGAAAUACCACCCUUGUAUGUUUGAUGUUCUAACUUAGACCCAUUAUCUGGGUUGAGGACAGUGCCUGGUGGGUAGUUUGACUGGGGCGGUCUCCUCCCAAAGAGUAACGGAGGAGCACGAAGGUGGGCUAAUCACGGUUGGACAUCGUGAGGUUAGUGCAAUGGCAUAAGCCCGCUUAACUGCGAGAAUGACGGUUCGAGCAGGUGCGAAAGCAGGUCAUAGUGAUCCGGUGGUUCUGGAUGGAAGGGCCAUCGCUCAACGGAUAAAAGGUACUCCGGGGAUAACAGGCUGAUACCGCCCAAGAGUUCAUAUCGACGGCGGUGUUUGGCACCUCGAUGUCGGCUCAUCACAUCCUGGGGCUGAAGUCGGUCCCAAGGGUAUGGCUGUUCGCCAUUUAAAGUGGUACGCGAGCUGGGUUUAGAACGUCGUGAGACAGUUCGGUCCCUAUCUGCCGUGGGCGUUGGAAGAUUGAAGGGGGCUGCUCCUAGUACGAGAGGACCGGAGUGGACGAACCUCUGGUGUUCGGGUUGUGUCGCCAGACGCAUUGCCCGGUAGCUAAGUUCGGAAUUGAUAAGCGCUGAAAGCAUCUAAGCGCGAAGCGAGCCCUGAGAUGAGUCUUCCCUGACAGUUUAACUGUCCUAAAGGGUUGUUCGAGACUAGAACGUUGAUAGGCAGGGUGUGUAAGCGUUGUGAGGCGUUGAGCUAACCUGUACUAAUUGCCCGUGAGGCUUAACCAU